CCAAAAGUUUUUGAAAGAUUGAAAUAUAUAAACACAUAAUCCAGCUAAAUAGGGUGACAGGUAAACCUGCUUGACCAGCGUGUGCUGGCCCCAUGGGCUGAAGAGUGUGCUCUGCCAUCACAGCCAGGCUUCACACAUGUACACACUUCUGCAUUUUGGGAGAAGAAAAAGAAACAGGAGAAGCGGGAGACUAUGGAAAGAGAAAUCCUGGCAUGCUCUAAACUGCAUCAGGAAUUAAUGGACUAAAAGGAAAGUGCCUUGGAUGAGUGACAUUUCUUUGCUGAAGAAUUAGAAAUUACAUUAUCUUCUCCAGCCGUCUAUGGAGAGAACAUGGAAAGUGUCUCUGGCACCCCCACAGCAUCCUACUGUUGUUGAAAUUUAGCAGGUUUGGAGAAGGUGAAUUUUGGAGGUGCCUACAGAUAUUAUAGCAAAUGUAUGUGCUUGCACAUCAAUGUCCUAGU
rnacentral:lncRNA from 1 species